rnacentral:rRNA from 1 species
AACGAACGCUGGCGGCGUACUUAACACAUGCAAGUCGGACGAGAAAUUCCGAUUCGUCGGGAGAGUAAAGUGGCGAACGGGUGAGUAAUACGAGGGUAAUCUACCCUUAAAUUAGGGAUAACCUUGCGAAAGCGAAGCUAAUACCUGAUAAGACUACGAUCUCCAAGGGGAUAGUAGGAAAAGAUGGCCUCUGUUUCAUGCUAUUGUUUAAGGAUGAGCCCUUGCACUAUUAGCUAGUUGGUGAGGUAAUGGCCCACCAAGGCUACGAUGGUUAGCUGGUCUGAGAGGAUGAUCAGCCACACUGGAACUGAGACACGGUCCAGACUCCUACGGGAGGCAGCAGUGAGGAAUAUUGCGCAAUGGGGGAAACCCUGACGCAGUGACGCCGCGUGAGCGAUGAAGGCUUUCGAGUCGUAAAGCUCUGUUAG